CCGGUGACUCGGAGACGGUGACUCAGAGGCAGAGCGGCGCAAGGGCCAAGGAGUACUGGCGUCCAUGGACCCUGGGGACCCCGUCAGGAGCAGGUGACAUCCUUCCCCUUCCACCCUGCUCCCUGCUCUACAUCCCCAGCAGGGAGUGGCCUCUCCCUUCUCCAUGGACUUCCAAGAGAGGGACCCGCCCUUCCUGCCUGAGAGCGCUCAGUCCUCAAAGCCCAGCAGUGCUCAGCAGGCCUCUGAGCUGUGGGAGGUGGUGGAGGAGCCUCGGGUCAGGCUGGGGACAGAGGGUGUCAUGCCUGAGAGGCAGGAAGGUCACCUGCUCAAGAAGAGGAAGUGGCCUCUGAAGGGCUGGCACAAGGUAGGGUGGGCAGGCAAAGGGAGGGUCCAGACAUGGGGGGCGGGGUGGGAAUGGGGGGCAGCUGCUGGGCAGUCCAAUGGUGUUUGCAUGAUGAGAAGGAAAAGAAAAGCUAAUUUGUGUGGUUGCCUUCUCCCUCAUGCCCUUCCUCUCGGCCUCCCGGGUCCUGUCACUCCUGGGCAACAUCACAGAGAUACUUUGUGCUCGAGGACGGGAUCCUUCAUUAUGCAACAACCCGGCAAGACGUGAGCCC
rnacentral:lncRNA from 1 species